UUGCUCAACCAUACCAUCUUGAGAAUGCUGAAUCUCGUCUGGAUCUUGGAAGCUAAGCAGGGUUAGGUCUGGUUAGUACUUGGAUGGGAGACCUCUGGGAAAACCAAGUGCACU
rnacentral:rRNA from 1 species